UUUUUUUGAAAGCUAUCCAUUUACAGUAACAUCAUAACAGAAAUCGACUCGGAAAUGGUUCAUUCGUGACCUGGUAAGUCAUUAUGAAUAUAUUUUGAUAACAAUAACUUAUUUCAUUGUGACGUAGAUCCGUUUAUUACUGCUGUAUGAAUCUAACAGUCGAACGAGCUAAUCAUCGUUUAACAAGUUCCUCAACACAACGCUAAGCAUAAUCCGACACUACAGUACAUUUCCGAAGGCCAUUUUAUUUCCAAAAGAUAUCUCACUAAUUGACACGAUCAAUAGGAACGUUACAAACCAUCGAUAACCAUGCAGUUUCUACCAAGGGAUCAGAACAAAUUAGUACAGGCUAUAGUGAGAAACGACUGGCCAGCAGUAACAAACAUCCUUGAAAAUGAACCUCAUCUUAUUGAAACUCAGGAUGAGGCAAGUACUAAGUUAAAUUUAUGAAGUGAUUUUCUUGAUUUCAGAAUUUUUAUUGGAUCAUAUUUUUAAAAUAAGAUACAGUUCCAACACAACACAAAGUUCACAAUUAUUUGC